AAAUGAUUUAGCAAUUGCAGUGGAGUAACAUGGCAAAGACAUCAUCAGGACAUCUAACAUUUUAGAAUUGCAACCGCAUGUAAGUGGAGAGGUAAUUGUAAUGUGAAGCAAUUUUACGAAGGUAAUGAUUAUCUAGACUCUGCAAAGGCAUCAUGUAAUUGUGUACUCAGAGAGUGAGACAACUUAGUUGUGAGAUCAAACAAUUAAUUUUGAAUCCUCAUGUCUUAGAAAUGUUUACAUAAAUCUGAACACAAUCAAAAUAUUUUACUAAAAAUAUGUUCCCAAACUUCAUACUAAGUUGCUACAAUUUAAUUUUAAUAUAGUUUCUAUCAUAUAUAUCAUUCAACUUGACAAUUCCAUAGUGAUAAUUCAACACCUAGACUUCCCAACAAUUUAUUUUCAGCAAUAAGCAGUAAAGCAGGAAAAAGAGAACUACA
rnacentral:misc_RNA from 1 species